GCACGGGAAGGUUAGAGACAGGGGAAGACACCGAAUCCGAAGCAAGCUCCAGGGUCUCAGCACAGAGCCUGACGCAGGGCUUGAACUCACAGACCCAAGAAAUCAUGACCCUAGCUGAAGUCCCUGACGCUUAACCAACUGAGCCACCCAGGUACCCCCUCCUGGCUCCGUUUAAAAACGCUUUGACAUAAUCGACCCCUCUUUAUUUGACUUUUUUUUUUUUUUCUUUUUUGGCAGCUUUUUUAAAGAUUUUACAGCUUUGACUUUUUUUACAGCUUCCAGGUGGGGCUUGAGGAAUGGCUAGGGGUUGCCUGCAGCCAUGCUUCCCAAACUUGACAGCACGUGCAGACCCCCAGGGAUCUUUAUCUUGUUAGGAUGCAGAUUCUGACUCGUGGGGCCUGAGAUGGGUUUCACGUUUCUCAUUGCCUCUCAGGUGAUGCUGUGAGGCUGUUCUGAGGAUCCUGCCUUGAAUAGCUAGACGCCAGGGGUCGGCGGGGAGUCGGGAUCCGAGACCAGUCUGACCCCCAAACCUGCCUUCUCAUGAGCCCACCAGGAGGAUGAGGGAACAGAAUCUCUCCACUCCUGAGUCACCUCACGGCGUCCCGGAUGGUUGAGGACACCUGCUGCUCUGAUGGCAGAGGCCCAGGUGGACGGAGAUGGUACUCAGUCACCUAGUAACACGCAGAUCGGAUUUCCAGGCUUGGCCGCUUCUGACCAUCUCAAAUAUUUGCUGGAGGGGGUGCUGCACGGUGGUCGUCGAGGAGAAGGAAGGACCCGCCUGCACGGUGGUCAGAGUCCUGCAAACAGGGCUCCUGGCCUUCAAUGCAGGCGGGCGGAGACAGCGUGGCAUCCUUGCUGACUGGAGAUCACCGGGGGAUGGGACCGUAUGUUGCCUGAGCACCUACUAUGUGUCGGCCACCUCCCCUUUUCCCAAGAAGCCCAGAGAGUGAGACUUGGGCCCAUUUUACACACAGGAAAAAGGAGGCUCAGAGACACGAAGCCAGUGGCUCAAGGCCACACAGUAAUCACCCAAGACAGGAUUUGAACCCUGACUGAGCCCGGCUCCUGCCCUCCUAGGAAACCCUUCGGGAUCAGCUCCUAGUUUACCACGGCUCACUUCACCUUCGGCUGUUGUUCUACGACUCGGGGUCUGUUCACGGACAACUUGGAAGUCAGACUGACAGCAUUCGCGACCCCUUUCCUCCCUAGAGUAGCUGAGGGGCUCGGUCGGUCUCCCGGUGGCUCAGUUUACCCAUCGGCAGAACAACUGCACGAAGACCUCCGUCCUGGGCGUGCUGGGCAGAGGGAAUGGAGUAAGCGCAGCAAAAACCCUGGCACCCGGCCUGGGAUACAGCAGGUGCUCCGUAAGUGCUGGCUACGGUCACGAUCAUCCUUGAUGCUGGUGCCCUGGCAUCACCGAGGUGCCCCAGGUGCCCCACCUGUCGCAUCAGAGCUUCCGGGCAACACCCGAGCUGCCUCGGCAACAGCUGUGUGCCUACCCCAAAGAUUGCCAUCCUGGCUGUUCCUAACCCACUUCAUCAGAAAGAAGGAUAAAAGGUGAAGACAGAUGCCCCGAUUAGCACAGGAUUCCCGGUAACUGAUCGCUGCCUUCAAAGCGGGUAAUAAAGGCAAGCCAAGCCACGGUCCGUUGGUCACCAGUGCUGGUUCCACCGGAACGGUCCCACACGUGAGCCUGGCAGGGCCCCUCGGGCCCCUCUUUGCUCCCUCUUGUCGAGAAGAACCGGGGCCUGAUUAAUAGCUUAACUGCACUUAAUUCCCCACGGAAUCAUCAAACACAGUCUGUUUCAUUAGACAGAUCAGGACGAUUCACCUUGUGUAAUCAUAUCACAUAAAACUUUGCUUUGGACCCA